UUUUAUAUAGUUUAAAAAACAUUACAUUUUCAAUGUAAAAUUAGAUUAUCAUCUUAUAAAUA
rnacentral:tRNA from 1 species